rnacentral:rRNA from 1 species
ACGCUCGACACCUACGGGAAGCAGCAGUAGGGAAUCUUCCGCAAUGGACGAAAGUCUGACGGAGCAACGCCGCGUGAACGAUGAAGGUUUUCGGAUCGUAAAGUUCUGUUGUUAGGGAAGAACAAACUUCGUUUGAAUAAGGCGGAGUCAUGACGGUACCUAACGAGAAAGCCACGGCUAACUACGUGCCAACAGCCGCGGUAAUCUGAGCGGGCUGGCAAGGC